AUGCUUGCUUGGAAGAAAAAUUGUGAAAAACAAAAAUUGAGUUGUGAAAUAAGAGUUGUGAAGGUUUCAAAUGAGAAAUAAAUGGAACGAAGUUGAGAUGUGUAAAUAAUGUAUAGUGAAUGUCUCUUUUGCAUCGGCAAUCUCAUUUUCAAUGGCCUAAGAAAUGACCAUUGUUUGUUAACCUAACCAAGCUUCAACCGAAAAGCCCUUAGUGAUCUUCGUGCUUACACAUUACCAUUUAUAAUUGUUAGACAUUGUAUGAAUCGAA
rnacentral:lncRNA from 1 species